GAUGAACGCUGACAGAAUGCUUAACACAUGCAAGUCUACUUGAACUUCGGUUUGGGUGGCGGACGGGUGAGUAACGCGUAAAGAGCUUGCCCCACAGUUAGGGACAACAUUUGGAAACGAAUGCUAAUACCUGAUAUUAUGAUUUUAGGGCAUCCUAGGAUUAUGAAAGCUAUAUGUGCUGUGAGAGAGCUUUGCGUCCCAUUAGCUAGUUGGAGAGGUAACGGCUCACCAAGGCGAUGAUGGGUAGCCGGCCUGAGAGGGUGAACGGCCACAAGGGGACUGAGACACGGCCCUUACUCCUACGGGAGGCAGCAGUGGGGAAUAUUGGACAAUGGACCAAAAGUCUGAUCCAGCAAUUCUGUGUGCACGAUGACGUUUUUCGGAAUGUAAAGUGCUUUCAGUUGGGAAGAAAAAAAUGACGGUACCAACAGAAGAAGUGACGGCUAAAUACGUG
rnacentral:rRNA from 1 species